UACGGAGGGGGCUAGCGUUGUUCGGAAUUACUGGGCGUAAAGCGCGCGUAGGCGGACCUGCAAGUCGGGGGUGAAAGCCCGAGGCUCAACCUCGGAACUGCCUUCGAUACUGCGGGUCUCGAGUCCGGGAGAGGUGAGUGGAAUUCCUAGUGUAGAGGUGAAAUGCGUAGAUAUCAGGAGGAACACCUGUGGUGUAGACAGCUUACUGGACCACUUCUGACGCUGAGACACGAAAGCGUGGGUAGCAAACAGG
rnacentral:rRNA from 1 species